rnacentral:rRNA from 1 species
GAACUGAUUAGAAGCUUUCUUCUAUGACGUUAGCGUCGUACGGGUGAGUAACACGUGGGCAACCUGCCUUUAAGACUGGGAUAACUUCGUGGAAACCGAAGCUAAUACCGGAUAUGGAUCUUCUCCUUCAUGGGAGAUGAUUGAAAGAUGGUUUCGGCUAUCACUUACAGAUGGGCCCGCGGUGCAUUAGCUAGUUGGUGRGGUAACGGCUCACCAAGGCAACGAUGCAUAGCCGACCUGAGAGGGUGAUCGGCCACACUGGGACUGAGACACGGSCCAGACUCCUACGGGAGGCAGCAGUAGGGAAUCUUCCGCAAUGGRCGAAAGUCUGACGGAGCAACGCCGCGUGAGUGAUGAAGRCUUUCGGGUCGUAAAACUCUGUUGUUAGGGAAGAACAAGUACGAGAGUAACUGSUCGUACCUUGRCGGUACCUAACCAGAAAGSCACGGAUAACUACGUGCCAGCAGCCGCGGUAAUACGUAGGUGGCAAGCGUUAUCCGGGAUUAUUGGGCGUAAAGCGCGCGCAGBGGUUUCUUAAGUCUGAUGUGAAAGCCCACGGCUCAACCGUGGAGGGGUCAUUGGG